GGGACACGUGGUAUCCUGUCUGAAUAUGGGGGGACCAUCCUCCAAGGCUAAAUACUCCUGACUGACCGAUAGUGAACCAGUACCGUGAGGGAAAGGCGAAAAGAACCCCGGCGAGGGGAGUGAAAAAGAACCUGAAACCGUGUACGUACAAGCAGUGGGAGCCUCUUAAUGGGGUGACUGCGUACCUUUUGUAUAAUGGGUCAGCGACUUAUAUUCUGUAGCAAGGUUAACCGAAUAGGGGAGCCGAAGGGAAACCGAGUCUUAACUGGGCGUUAAGUUGCAGGGUAUAGACCCGAAACCCGGUGAUCUAGCCAUGGGCAGGUUGAAGGUUGGGUAACACUAACUGGAGGACCGAACCGACUAAUGUUGAAAAAUUAGCGGAUGACUUGUGGCUGGGGGUGAAAGGCCAAUCAAACCGGGAGAUAGCUGGUUCUCCCCGAAAGCUAUUUAGGUAGCGCCUCGUGAAUUCAUCUCCGGGGGUAGAGCACUGUUUCGGCAAGGGGGUCAUCCCGACUUACCAACCCGAUGCAAACUGCGAAUACCGGAGAAUGUUAUCACGGGAGACACACGGCGGGUGCUAACGUCCGUCGUGAAGAGGGAAACAACCCAGACCGCCAGCUAAGGUCCCAAAGUCAUGGUUAAGUGGGAAACGAUGUGGGAAGGCCCAGACAGCCAGGAUGUUGGCUUAGAAGCAGCCAUCAUUUAAAGAAAGCGUAAUAGCUCACUGGUCGAGUCGGCCUGCGCGGAAGAUGUAACGGGGCUAAACCAUGCACCGAAGCUGCGGCAGCGACACUAUGUGUUGUUGGGUAGGGGAGCGUUCUGUAAGCCUGUGAAGGUGUGCUGUGAGGCAUGCUGGAGGUAUCAGAAGUGCGAAUGCUGACAUAAGUAACGAUAAAGCGGGUGAAAAGCCCGCUCGCCGGAAGACCAAGGGUUCCUGUCCAACGUUAAUCGGGGCAGGGUGAGUCGACCCCUAAGGCGAGGCCGAAAGGCGUAGUCGAUGGGAAAC
rnacentral:rRNA from 1 species